rnacentral:tRNA from 1 species
UCAAGGGUAGCCUAGUGGGCAUGGCAUCUGCCCGGUAAGCGGAACGUUGUGGGUUUGAUUCCCGCUCCUGGAC